rnacentral:misc_RNA from 1 species
UGAACUUAAAAUUUCAAAAUCAUUCCCAAGAAAGUAUGCCAAAAUGUUUUAGAACAUUGUUUAUUGUCUGAAGGAAGUGUACAGUCCAUCAAAUAGUGCUGACCCAUAAAGUCUCCAGGAGUAAUUGCAGUAAAAGUGGCCCUUUACAAAUACGACAAGCUCCUUUAGAAUGAAUUUCUAAAUUUUCAACAUCUCCUCGCUCUUUCUGCUUUGAGAAUCAAGG